AAACUUGAGAGUUUGAUCCUGGCUCAGAACGAACGCUGGCGGCAUGCCUAACACAUGCAAGUCGAACGAACCCUUCGGGGUUAGUGGCGCACGGGUGCGUAACACGUGGGAAUCUGCCCUUUGCUUCGGAAUAACAGUUAGAAAUGACUGCUAAUACCGGAUGAUGUCGCAAGACCAAAGAUUUAUCGGCAAAGGAUGAGCCCGCGUAGGAUUAGCUAGUUGGUGGGGUAAAGGCUCACCAAGGCGACGAUCCUUAGCUGGUCUGAGAGGAUGAUCAGCCACACUGGGACUGAGACACGGCCCA
rnacentral:rRNA from 1 species